rnacentral:rRNA from 1 species
AUGGCUUCCAGUUUGCAGCCAUGGCUUCUUCUCCUCAUCCUCCCCCUCCUCUCUUUGGUGCUUAGCCCGGCAGCGCCUGCGGCGGUGUUCAACGACAACUUCGUGGCGGUAGGGGGUACAGAUGCUAAUCACCUAGUUAAUCAGGGGACAUCAGUUCGCCUCGUCUUGGAUAGGAGCUCCGGGGCUGGAUUUAGUUCCAAGGUGGCGUACGGUUCAGGGUGGAUCCAAAUGAGGAUCAAGAUACCCGCCGGGUACACUGCAGGGGUUGUAACGGCCUUCUAUCUCACGUCGGAGCCCGAGUACGGUGACCACGACGAGGUGGAUUUCGAGUUCUUGGGCAACGUGGAGGGAAAGCCGGUCGCUCUCCAGACCAACAUCUUUCUGAACGGCAAAGGCGAGAGGGAGCAGAAGUUCGACCUUUGGUUCGACCCGGGUGCCGAUUUCCAUGACUACAAGAUACUCUGGAACCCCUACCAGCUCGUGAUGUUCGUCGACGACACGCCCAUACGGGUGCUCAAGAACCUCAUGCCCGGCCAGUUCCUGGUGAGGCCGAUGAAGAUCCGGGGGAGCCUCUGGGACGGCUCCGACUGGGCGACGGACAAUGGCAAAUACAGGGUCGACUAUAACCGUGCGCCGUUCACCGCCGUGUUACAGGGUUUUGACGUCUAUGGCUGCCCCGCCACCGGAGGCGCGCCCUGUGGCUCACUGAGCCUGUCGUGA